rnacentral:rRNA from 1 species
GAUGAACGCUGGCGGCGUGCUUAACACAUGCAAGUCGAACGGGAAACCUUUUAUUGAAGCUUCGGCAGAUUUAGCUGGUUUCUAGUGGCGGACGGGUGAGUAACGCGUGGGUAACCUGCCUUAUACAGGGGGAUAACAGUCAGAAAUGGCUGCUAAUACCGCAUAAGCGCACAGAGCUGCAUGGCUCAGUGUGAAAAACUCCGGUGGUAUAAGAUGGACCCGCGUUGGAUUAGCUGGUUGGUGGGGUAACGGCCCACCAAGGCGACGAUCCAUAGCCGGCCUGAGAGGGUGAACGGCCACAUUGGGACUGAGACACGGCCCAGACCCCUACGGGGGGCAGCAGGGGGGAAAAUUGCACAAUGGGGGAAACCCUGAUGCAGCGACGCCGGGGGAAGGAAGAAGUAUCUCGGUAUGAAAACUUCUACCAGCAGGGAAGAUAAGGACGGUACCUGACAAAGAAGCCCCGGCUAACUACGG